rnacentral:rRNA from 1 species
CUUGGUCAGGAUGAACGCUGGCGGCGUGCUUAACACAUGCAAGUCGAACGAAGCACCUCUAAUCGAAGAUUGAGAAAGCUUGCUUUGAUUGAUUCACCUUGAGGUGACUGAGUGGCGGACGGGUGAGUAACGCGUGGGUAACCUACCCUAUACAGGGGGAUAACAGUUGGAAACGACUGCUAAUACCGCAUAAGCGCACAGGACCGCAUGGUCUAGUGUGAAAAAACUCCGGUGGUAUAGGAUGGACCCGCGUCUGAUUAGCUAGUUGGUGAGGUAACGGCUCACCAAGGCGACGAUCAGUAGCCGACCUGAGAGGGUGACCGGCCACAUUGGGACUGAGACACGGCCCAAACUCCUACGGGAGGCAGCAGUGGGGAAUAUUGCACAAUGGGCGAAAGCCUGAUGCAGCGACGCCGCGUGAACGAAGAAGUAUUUCGGUAUGUAAAGUUCUAUCAGCAGGGAAGAAAAAUGACGGUACCUGACUAAGAAGCUCCGGCUAAAUACGUGCCAGCAGCCGC